rnacentral:rRNA from 1 species
UGAGGAAUAUUGGACAAUGGAGGAAACUCUGAUCCAGCCAUGCCGCGUGAAGGAAGUAGGCCCUAUGGGUCGUGAACUUCUUUUGGCGCAGAGCAAUAAGGGCCACGCGUGGUCCGAUGAGAGUAUGCGUCGAAUAAGCAUCGGCUAACUCCGUGCCAGCAGCCGCGGUAAUACGGGGGAUGCGAGCGUUAUCCGGAUUUAUUGGGUUUAAAGGGUGCGUAGGCUGCGCGACAAGUCGGCGGUGAAACCCCGGGGCUCAACCCCGGGCCUGCCGUCGAAACUGGCGCGCUGGAGUUCGGAUGCCGUGGGAGGAAUGAGUGGUGUAGCGGUGAAAUGCAUAGAUAUCACUCAGAACACCGAUUGCGAAGGCAUCUCACGAAUCCGAGACUGACGCUGAGGCACGAAAGCGUGGGGAUCAAACAGGAUUAGAUACCCUGGUAGUCCACGCAGUAAACGAUGAUGACUAACCGUCGGCGAUACACAGUCGGUGGCCAAGCGAAAGCGAUAAGUCAUCCACCUGGGGAGUACGACCGCAAGGUUG